rnacentral:rRNA from 1 species
GAUGAACGCUGGCGGCGUGCCUAAUACAUGCAAGUCGAGCGAACAGACGAGGAGCUUGCUCCUCUGACGUUAGCGGCGGACGGGUGAUUAACACGUGGAUAACCUACCUAUAAGACUGGGAUAACUUCGGGAAACCGGAGCUAAUACCGGAUAAUAUAUUGAACCGCAUGGUUCAAUAGUUAAAGACGGUUUUGCUGUCACUUAUAGAUGGAUCCGCGCCGCAUUAGCUAGUUGGUAAGGUAACGGCUUACCAAGGCAACGAUGCGUAGCCGACCUGAGCGGGUGAUCGGCCACACUGGAACUGAGACACGGUCCAGACUCCUGCGGGAGGCAGCAGUAGGGAAUCUUCCGCAAUGGGCGAAAGCCUGACGGAGCAACGCCGCGUGAGUGAUGAAGGUCUUCGGAUCGUAAAACUCUGUUAUUAGGGAAGAACAAAUGUGUAAGUAACUAUGCACGUCUUGACGGUACCUAAUCAGAAAGCCACGGCUAACUACGUG